GGGGGACUGAAAAUCCU
rnacentral:tRNA from 1 species